rnacentral:rRNA from 1 species
GGCAUACGGCUCAGUAACACGUAGUCAACAUGCCCAGGGGACGUGGAUAACCUCGGGAAACUGAGGAUAAACCGCGAUAGGUCAUCACUUCUGGAAUGGGUAAUGACUUAAAUCUAUAUGGCCCCUGGAUUGGACUGCGGCCGAUCAGGCUGUUGGUGAGGUAAUGGCCCACCAAACCUGUAACCGGUACGGGCUCUGAGAGGAGGAGCCCGGAGAUGGGCACUGAGACAAGGGCCCAGGCCCUAUGGGGCGCAGCAGGCGCGAAACCUCUGCAAUAGGCGAAAGCUUGACAGGGUUACUCUGAGUGAUUUCCGUUUAGGAGAUCUUUUGGCAUCUCUAAAAAUGGUGCAGAAUAAGGGGUGGGCAAGUCUGGUGUCAGCCGCCGCGGUAAUACCAGCACCCCGAGUGGUCGGGACGUUUAUUGGGCCUAAAGCAUCCGUAGCCGGUUCUACAAGUCUUCCGUUAAAUCCACCUGCUUAACAGAUGGGCUGCGGAAGAUACUAUAGAGCUAGGAGGCGGGAGAGGCAAGCGGUACUCGAUGGGUAGGGGUAAAAUCCGUUGAUCCAUUGAAGACCACCAGUGGCGAAGGCGGCUUGCCAGAACGCGCUCGACGGUGAGGGAUGAAAGCUGGGGGAGCAAACCGGAUUAGAUACCCGGGUAGUCCCAGCUGUAAACGA